AAGAACCUUACCUACUCUUGACAUCCAGAGAACUUUCCAGAGAUGGAUUGGUGCCUUCGGGAACUCUGAGACAGGUGCUGCAUGGCUGUCGUCAGCUCGUGUUGUGAAAUGUUGGGUUAAGUCCCGCAACGAGCGCAACCCUUAUCCUUUGUUGCCAGCGGUUAGGCCGGGAACUCAAAGGAGACUGCCAGUGAUAAACUGGAGGAAGGUGGGGAUGACGUCAAGUCAUCAUGGCCCUUACGAGUAGGGCUACACACGUGCUACAAUGGCGCAUACAAAGAGAAGCGACCUCGCGAGAGCAAGCGGACCUCAUAAAGUGCGUCUAUCCGGAUUGGAGUCUGCAACUCGACUCCAUGAAGUCGGAAUCGCUAGUAAUCGUAGAUCAGAA
rnacentral:rRNA from 1 species